UACGGCGGGCGCGCGCCGAGCACCAGCCCCCCGAGGGUCUUGGCGGCCUCCGCGGUCUCGGCCGGGGGGGCGGACCCGAGGGGCUUCCUCUCGGCGUCGGCGUCCUCCACCCCCUCCUCGGCGGACUACCCGGCGCAGGGGGCGGGCGCGGGGCCGGGGGCGACGCCGGUGGCGGGGGCCGCCAGCCCCCAGCUCACCAACCUCUCCGCCACGGGCAGUCUGUUCUCCGGCUCCUCCAGCGAGAUCAUGUCCAGGAUGGGUAGCCUGGUGCCGUUCAGCAACAUGAACCCCUUCGCGCUGCCCACCUGCGGCUCUCAAGGCUACGGCUCCUCGCCCCUGCUUAAGUGAUACGGCCACGACUCCGGCAAAUGUUAUCUCUAUUAUUAUUAAUAAUACUUUUUGUUAUCAUCACUUUUGUUAUUAUUACUUUUGUUAUUACUAUUAUUACCGAGUUUUUCUUCUGUUUCUGUGGUCUCCCAUUAUCGGUUCAAGUGCAGGAGCGGAAUUUGUUCUUUCCCUCCCCCUUUCCUGCGCAAACCUGUAGUAUUUUUGUAAACAACAAUCGUGGUCCAUAAUCGUCUUUUGUACAUAAAAUUGCCCAUGUGACAAGCAAAAUUUAUCAAAUGUUUUGUACAUAUCAUGUAAAGUUGUUUUAAAAAAGAGAGAGUACCCUAGAGCUAUAUAUAUAUACUUUUGUAUGUGACAAUUGUGAUUAUUUGGUCUGAUGUUUUUUUAGAAUAAAGGGCCUAGAAUGGCCUUUUAAGAAAUGACUUCCAA